GAUGAACGCUGGCGGCGUGCCUAACACAUGCAAGUCGAGCGAGAAGCUUAUGACAGAAUCUUCGGAUGAUGGAUUAAGUGGACAGCGGCGGACGGGUGAGUAACGCGUGGGUAACCUGCCCUAUACAGGGGGAUAGCAGUUGGAAACGACUAUUAAUACCCCAUAUUCUAUGUUUAUCGCAUGAUAGAUAUAGGAAAGAUUUAUCGGUAUAGGAUGGACCCGCGUCUGAUUAGCUAGUUGGUAAGGUAACGGCUUACCAAGGCGACGAUCAGUAGCCGACCUGAGAGGGUGAUCGGCCACACUGGAACUGAGACACGGUCCAGACUCCUACGGGAGGCAGCAGUGGGGAAUAUUGCACAAUGGGGGAAACCCUGAUGCAGCAACGCCGCGUGAACGAUGAAGGUCUUCGGAUCGUAAAGUUCUUUUCUUGGGGAUGAAAUAAUGACAGUACUCAAGGAAUAAGCACCGGCUAACUACGUGCCAGCAGCCGCGGUAAUACGUGGGGUGCAAGCGUUAUCCGGAAUCACUGGGCGUAAAGGGUGCGUAGGCGGUAAAGCAAGUCAGAAGUGAAAGGCAAUAGCUCAACUAUUGUAAGCUUUUGAAACUGUUUUACUUGAAUUCAGGAGAGGUAAGUGGAAUUCCUAGUGUAGCGGUGAAAUGCGUAGAUAUUAGGAGGAACACCGGUGGCGAAGGCGACUUACUGGACUGAGAUUGACGCUGAUGCGCGAAAGCGUGGGGAGCGAACAGG
rnacentral:rRNA from 1 species